GGCCCCUCCCCUACCCCGAAGUAGCCAUUCCGCAGAGGUGGGGAGACUCGCGUGUAGCUCAAUGCCCACGCACUUAGCCGAUGGGAAAUUACGAAUUGAUGACCAGUUGGCUCUUGGAUCUGAGGAAAAAACUCCAGAGUCAGAGGGAACUCUCGAAGUUUUGCCCGGAGCAAACGGAAGGGUGGCAUUGCCAUCGCCUAAGAUGGGAAAAUGGCAGGUGUCACAGGUUGCUGGGGAAGGUCGGAGACCAGCUGAGGGCCCCGGAGCCUUCCUGGAGUUUCCCAUCCAGCCGGUCUCGGUUUCCGCAUCCGUCGGAUUCCUUAUGACGUUGAGGGUGCUGGCGUCUGGGUCCUUUAUGAUACAGAGGGUGCCCCCGUCUCACCCCGGGCGCCUCCGCGCUCCCGCCUCCUCCUGGCAGGCAACCUGGUGCGCGGCUCCGGACCUGGCGACCCACGACCGGCUGGUCACUUGCUGCCGCCUCGCAAAGGCGCAUCUCUAGUCCAGUGGUGAGCUGCGGCCGGGUCGCUGCAACUCGCUCCAGGACUCGGGACUUGUGGCCUCGGUGUCCCUCGCGGAGCCCUCGGUGUGUCGCUUGCAGGCUCUUUUUUUGAAGAAAGCAGGGAGGGAAUGGCCUUGUGAGAGACUCCAAGAGCAAAGAGCGACCCUCACAAGGCCCAAGUCCUCCCAGAACUCAGGGAAGCUGUCGCUUCUGACAGAAGAAGGGAGAGAAAGCUCCCUCCUGUGUGUCCCUGGUGGUCUAGUGGCUAGGAUUCGGCGCUUUCACCGCCGCGGCCCGGGUUCGAUUCCCGGUCAGGGAAUUGUUUUACACUGGCCGCCCUCCCGCAGGAAUCUUCCUUCACUACGCUAUCAGCCGGCCUGCUCCAAGGGCCAGAGGCAGAACAGUCUCCGCAGCGGGGUUAAAGCCGGGCGAAGGAGGGCAAGUGCUGGUGGACCACCUCUCACGACACACCGUUCCUAUUUAUCUCCGUGUCCGUCAUCCGCGGAAGCAGCUUUAGAGAGCGACUGAGCUAGCUCAGAGAUGCCAGCCCCUGUGAAGCUGCACCCAAUAAGCCCACCUUCUUUCCCGUCGCCACGCCGGAGACGCCCAUCGGGCUGAGCUGCGAAUAACUAAGAGAGAGGCCAAGCCAAGUCGUGGCGUUUGUGGCAGCCCCGGACACGGGCACCAGCCAGUCAGCGGAGCCUCCUCACCUCCGUUGCCAGCGAAGGCGCUCAUUAGGCCUUAGGAAGAGGCGACCGGAGGCGAUGCCCGCGAAUUUGUUAGGGGGGUAAGCGGCGGGUGAGGUCCUCGAGGGCGGUCCCGUUUGCUGAUUGAGCGGUAGACGGAGGCGAUGUUCGCUGACCCAACAAGGACAGCAGGUGGAGUAGGCACAGAUGGAAAACUGCUGCCGGUGCCCUAAGCAGAAGGCAGGUGGAAAAAUCAGCACUAGGACGUCGAAGCGAUGGUACCACAGUCAAAUCCCACGAUGUCUACACUCUACCAAGCACUUGCGCACGCUCCCCCUUUUCCAUUCAGUACCCCUCCCAAGAGGGGUUCGGAAGAACCCCGAGUCCACUGUAAGCUCAGGGGAGAGCGGGAGCCAGGGAGGUGAAGUGCGCAGACUCGGCAGAGGCGGUGUGCAGAACCGCGGGGGG